rnacentral:tRNA from 1 species
GGUCGGGUAGCUCAGUGGUAGAGCGUCGUGUCUCCGUCGCGGAGGUCGUGGGUUCGACUCCCAUCUCGGCUC